GAUUAACGCUGGCGGCGUGCCUAAUACAUGCAAGUCGAAUGGUAGCAAUACCAUGGCGAACGGGUGAGUAACACGUAGGUAACCUAUCUAAAAGACGAGGAUAACCACUGGAAACGGUGGGUAAUACUGGAUAGGACAUUUGAAGGCAUCUUUGGAUGUUUAAAGACUUAUCACUUUAAGAGGGGCCUGCGGCGCAUUAGCUAGUUGGUAGGGUAAUAGCCUACCAAGGCGAUGAUGCGUAGCCGGACUGAGAGGUUGAACGGCCACAAUGGGACUGAGAACGGCCCAUACUCCUACGGGAGGCAGCAGUAGGGAAUUUUCGGCAAUGGGCGGAAGCCUGACCGAGCAACGCCGCGUGAACGAAGAAGUAUUUCGGUAUGUAAAGUUCUUUUAUUUGGGACGAAAAGAUCAAGAUUGACGGUACCAAAUGAAUAAGCUCCGGCUAACUACGUGCCAGCAGCCGCGGUAAUACGUAGGGAGCGAGCGUUAUCCGGAAUUAUUGGGCGUAAGGGGUGCGUAGACGGCAUAUUAAGUUUCUUGUAAAAAUUCUAGGCUCAACCUAGUCAAGCAAGAGAUACUGAUAAGCUAGAGUAUGGAAGAGGCAAGUGGAACUCCAUGUGUAGCGGUAAAAUGCGUAAAUAUAUGGAAGAACACCAGUGGCGAAGGCGGCUUGCUGGUCCGAUACUGACGUUGAGGCACGAAAGCGUGGGGAGCAAACAGGAUUAGAUACCCUGGUAGUCCACGCCCUAAACGAUGAGACUAAGUGUUCGAGAAAUUCAGUGCUGAAGUUAACGCAUUAAGUACUCCGCCUGAGUAGUACGUACGCAAGUAUGAAACUUAAAGGAAUUGACGGGAGCCCGCACAAGCGGUGGAGCAUGUUGUUUAAUUCGACGAUACGCGAAGAACCUUACCAGGUCUUGACAUCUAGGUGUUAGGUAUAGAGAUAUACCGAGAUUGCCUAAGACAGGUGGUGCAUGGUUGUCGUCAGCUCGUGUCGUGAGAUGUUGGGUUAAGUCCCGCAACGAGCGCAACCCUUAUUGCUAGUUACUAAUAUUAAGUUAAGGACUCUAGCGAGACUGCCAUUGAUAAAAUGGAGGAAGGUGGGGAUGACGUCAAAUCAUCAUGCCCUUUAUGACCUGGGCUACAAACGUGCUACAAUGGCUGAAACAAAGAGAAGCGAAGCCGCGAGGCAGAGCAAACCUCAAAAAAGCAGUCUCAGUUCGGAUUGAAGUCUGCAACUCGACUUCAUGAAGUUGGAAUCGCUAGUAAUCGCGAAUCAGAAUGUCGCGGUGAAUACGUUCCCGGGCUUUGUACACACCGCCCGUCAAACCAUGAGAGUUUGUAAUACCCGAAGCCGGUGGCGUAACCGCAAGGAGCGAGCCGUCUAAGGUAGGACAGAUGAUUGGGGU
rnacentral:rRNA from 1 species